rnacentral:miRNA from 1 species
UUGGCCCAAAAGUUCGUUCGGAU